GACGAACGCUGGCGGCGUGCUUAACACAUGCAAGUCGAACGGAAAGGCCCUGCUUUUGUGGGGUGCUCGAGUGGCGAACGGGUGAGUAACACGUGAGUAACCUGCCCUUGACUUUGGGAUAACUUCAGGAAACUGGGGCUAAUACCGGAUAGGAGCUCCUGCUGCAUGGUGGGGGUUGGAAAGAUUCGGCGGUUGGGGAUGGACUCGCGGCUUAUCAGCUGGUUGGUGGGGUAGUGGCUUACCAAGGCUUUGACGGGUAGCCGGCCUGGGAGGGUGACCGGCCACAUUGGGACUGAGAGACGGCCCAGACUCCUACGGGAGGCAGCAGUGGGGAAUAUUGCACAAUGGGCGGAAGCCUGAUGCAGCAACGCCGCGUGCGGGAUGACGGCCUUCGGGUUGUAAACCGCUUUCGCCUGUGACGAAGCGUGAGUGACGGUAAUGGGUAAAGAAGCACCGGCUAACUACGUG
rnacentral:rRNA from 1 species